UACGUAGGCAGCGAGCGUUGUUCGGAGUUACUGGGCGUAAAGAGUGCGUAGGCGGUGCUCCAAGUCUGGUGUGAAAUCUCCCGGCUUAACCGGGAGGGUGCGCCGGAAACUGGGGUGCUGGAGUGUGGGAGAGGUAAGCGGAAUUCCCGGUGCAGCGGUGAAAUGCGUAGAUAACGGGAGGAACACCUGCGGUGUAGACGGCUUACUGGACCAUAACUGACGCUGAGGCACGAAAGCGUGGGUAGCAAACAGG
rnacentral:rRNA from 1 species